rnacentral:rRNA from 1 species
UACAGAGGUCUCGAGCGUUAGGCGGAAUCACUGGGCUUAAAGCGUGUGUAGGCGGAUCGGUAAGUACCUUGUGAAAUCCCACAGCUUAACUGUGGAACUGCUUGGUAUACUGCCAGUCUUGAGCCAGCUAGGGGCUACCGGAACAAAUGGUGGAGCGGUGAAAUGCGUAGAGAUCUGGAAGAACACCAAAGGCGAAGGCAGCGUCCUGGGAAGUCACUGACGCUCAGGUGCGAAAGCCAGGGGAGCGAACGGG